rnacentral:rRNA from 1 species
CCUACGGGAGACAGCAGUGGGGAAUAUUGCACAAUGGGGGAAACCCUGAUGCAGCGACGCCGCGUGGGUGACGAAGUAUUUCGGUAUGUAAAGCCCUAUCAGCAGGGAAGAAGAUGACAGUACCUGACCAAGAAGCCCCGGCUAACUACGUGCCAGCAGCCGCGGUAAUACGUAGGGGGCAAGCGUUAUCCGGAUUUACUGGGUGUAAAGGGAGCGUAGGUGGCAUGGCAAGCCAGAAGUGAAAACCCGGGGCUUAACCCCGCGGAUUGCUUUUGGAACUGUCAGGCUGGAGUGCAGGAGGGGCAGGCGGAAUUCCUGGUGUAGCGGUGAAAUGCGUAGAUAUCAGGAGGAACACCGGUGGCGAAGGCGGCCUGCUGGACUGUAACUGACACUGAGGCUCGAAAGCGUGGGGAGCAAACAGGAUUAGAUACCCGAGUAGUC